GAUGAACGCUGGCGGCGUGCCUAAUACAUGCAAGUCGAGCGAAUGGAUUAAGAGCUUGCUCUUAUGAAGUUAGCGGCGGACGGGUGAGUAACACGUGGGUAACCUGCCCAUAAGACUGGGAUAACUCCGGGAAACCGGGGCUAAUACCGGAUAACAUUUUGAACCGCAUGGUUCGAAAUUGAAAGGCGGCUUCGGCUGUCACUUAUGGAUGGACCCGCGUCGCAUUAGCUAGUUGGUGAGGUAACGGCUCACCAAGGCAACGAUGCGUAGCCGACCUGAGAGGGUGACCGGCCACACUGGGACUGAGAUACGGCCCAGACUCCUACGGGAGGCAGCAGUAGGGAAUCUUCCGCAAUGGACGAAAGUCUGACGGAGCAACGCCGCGUGAGUGAUGAAGGCUUUCGGGUCGUAAAACUCUGUUGUUAGGGAAGAACAAGUGCUAGUUGAAUAAGCUGGCACCUUGACGGUACCUAACCAGAAAGCCACGGCUAACUACGUGCCAGCAGCCGCAGUAA
rnacentral:rRNA from 1 species